CCUACGGGGGGCAGCAGUGAGGAAUAUUGGUCAAUGGCCGAGAGGCUGAACCAGCCAAGUCGCGUGAGGGAUGACGGCCCUACGGGUUGUAAACCUCUUUUGCCGGGGAGCAAAGAGCGGGACGCGUCCCGCCUCGAGAGUACCCGGAGAAAAAGCAUCGGCUAACUCCGUGCCAGCAGCCGCGGUAAUACGGAGGAUGCGAGCGUUAUCCGGAUUUAUUGGGUUUAAAGGGUGCGCAGGCGGAAGCGCAAGUCAGCGGUAAAAUUGAGAGGCUCAACCUCUUCCCGCCGUUGAAACUGCGUUUC
rnacentral:rRNA from 1 species